rnacentral:lncRNA from 1 species
CGGGACUCGAGGAGGUGGGGGCUCAAUGAAGAGAUUUUUGAGGGGAUCUUUUUAGUCCUGCGGCAUUGCUGGCGGACGGAGACUCCUAGGGUGUUUUUACGAAUCCAAUGUUACUGAUGAAGAAACCGGCACUUGCAGAUUCCUCCCUGCGGUUUCCAAGUUUGCUUCUUGUGAAGGAGAGAAAAAAGCCCCCAAUAAUGAGCUACUUGAUCUUAC